rnacentral:rRNA from 1 species
AUUGAACGCUGGCGGCAGGCCUAACACAUGCAAGUCGGACGGUAGCACAGAGAGCUUGCUCUUGGGUGACGAGUGGCGGACGGGUGAGUAAUGUCUGGGGAUCUGCCCGAUAGAGGGGGAUAACCACUGGAAACGGUGGCUAAUACCGCAUAACGUCGCAAGACCAAAGAGGGGGACCUUCGGGCCUCUCACUAUCGGAUGAACCCAGAUGGGAUUAGCUAGUAGGCGGGGUAAUGGCCCACCUAGGCGACGAUCCCUAGCUGGUCUGAGAGGAUGACCAGCCACACUGGAACUGAGACACGGUCCAGACUCCUACGGGAGGCAGCAGUGGGGAAUAUUGCACAAUGGGCGCAAGCCUGAUGCAGCCAUGCCGCGUGUAUGAAGAAGGCCUUCGGGUUGUAAAGUACUUUCAGCGGGGAGGAAGGCGGUGAGGUUAAUAACCUCACCGAUUGACGUUACCCGCAGAAGAAGCACCGGCUAACUCCGUGCCAGCAGCCGCGGUAA